rnacentral:rRNA from 1 species
UACGUAGGGUGCAAGCGUUAUCCGGAAUUAUUGGGCGUAAAGAGCUCGUAGGCGGUUUGUCGCGUCUGCUGUGAAAACUGGGGCUCAACCCCCAGCCUGCAGUGGGUACGGGCAGACUAGAGUGCGGUAGGGGAGAUUGGAAUUCCUGGUGUAGCGGUGGAAUGCGCAGAUAUCAGGAGGAACACCGAUGGCGAAGGCAGAUCUCUGGCCGUAACUGACGCUGAGGAGCGAAAGCAUGGGGAGCGAACAGG